UACAGAGGUCUCAAGCGUUGUUCGGAUUCAUUGGGCGUAAAGGGUGCGUAGGUGGCCGGGUAAGUCUGACGUGAAAUCUCCGAGCCUAACUCGGAAACUGCAUCGGAUACUAUCCGGCUUGAGGGUUGGAGGGGGGACUGGAAUACUUGGUGUAGCAGUGAAAUGCGUAGAUAUCAAGUGGAACACCAGUGGCGAAGGCGAGUCCCUGGACAACUCCUGACACUGAGGCACGAAAGCUAGGGGGGCAAACAGG
rnacentral:rRNA from 1 species